GGGGUCGUAGCUCAGUUUGGUUAGAGCGCUUGCCUGUCACGCAAGAAGUCGCGAGUUCGAGUCUCGUCGGCCCCG
rnacentral:tRNA from 3 species